GAAACGACUGCUAAUACCGCAUAAUGUCUACGGACCAAAGGGGGCUUCGGCUCUCGCCUUUAGAUUGGCCCAAGUGGGAUUAGCUAGUUGGUGAGGUAAUGGCUCACCAAGGCGACGAUCCCUAGCUGGUUUGAGAGGAUGAUCAGCCACACUGGGACUGAGACACGGCCCAGACUCCUACGGGAGGCAGCAGUGGGGAAUAUUGCACAAUGGGCGCAAGCCUGAUGCAGCCAUGCCGCGUGUGUGAAGAAGGCCUUCGGGUUGUAAAGCACUUUCAGUCAGGAGGAAAGGUUAGUGGUUAAUACCCGUUAGGUGUGACGUUACUGACAGAAGAAGCACCGGCUAACUCCGUGCCAGCAGCCGCGGUAAUACGGAGGGUGCGAGCGUUAAUCGGAAUUACUGGGCGUAAAGCGUACGCAGGCGGUUUGUUAAGCGAGAUGUGAAAGCCCCGGGCUCAACCUGGGAACUGCAUUUCGAACUGGCAAACUAGAGUGUGAUAGAGGGUGGUAGAAUUUCAGGUGUAGCGGUGAAAUGCGUAGAGAUCUGAAGGAAUACCGAUGGCGAAGGCAGCCACCUGGGUCAACACUGACGCUCAUGUACGAAAGCGUGGGGAGCAAACGGGAUUAGAUACCCCGGUAGUCCACGCCGUAAACGAUGUCUACUAGAAGCUCGGAGCCUCGGUUCUGUUUUUCAAAGCUAACGCAUUAAGUAGACCGCCUGGGGAGUACGGCCGCAAGGUUAAAACUCAAAUGAAUUGACGGGGGCCCGCACAAGCGGUGGAGCAUGUGGUUUAAUUCGAUG
rnacentral:rRNA from 1 species